rnacentral:rRNA from 1 species
UGGGGAAUAUUGCGCAAUGGGCGAAAGCCUGACGCAGCGACGCCGCGUGAGGGAUGAAGGUUUUCGGAUCGUAAACCUCUGUCAGAAGGGAAGAAACCGCACUGUGCUAAUCAGCAGUGCCUUGACGGUACCUUCAAAGGAAGCACCGGCUAACUCCGUGCCAGCAGCCGCGGUAAUACGGAGGGUGCAAGCGUUAAUCGGAAUUACUGGGCGUAAAGCGCACGUAGGCUGCUUUGUAAGUCAGGGGUGAAAUCCCACGGCUCAACCGUGGGACUGCCUUUGAUACUGCUUAGCUUGAAUCCGGGAGAGGGUGGCGGAAUUCCAGGUGUAGGAGUGAAAUCCGUAGAUAGCUGGAGGAACAUCAGUGGCGAAGGCGGCCACCUGGACCGGUAUUGACGCUGAGGUGCGAAAGCGUGGGGAGCAAACAGG